rnacentral:rRNA from 1 species
GAUGAACGCUGGCGGCGUGCCUAAUACAUGCAAGUCGAGCGAACGGACGAGAAUCUUGCUUCUCUGAUGUUAGCGGCGGACGGGUGAGUAACACGUGGAUAACCUACCUAUAAGACUGGGAUAACUUCGGGAAACCGUAGCUAAUACCGGAUAAUAUUUUGAACCGCAUGGUUCAAAAGUGAAAGACGGUCUUGCUGUCACUUAUAGAUGGAUCCUCGCUGCAUUAGCUAGUUGGUAAGGUAACGGCUUACCAAGGCUACGAUGCAUAGCCGAGCUGAGAGGGUGAUCGGCCACACUGGAACUGAGACACGGUCCAGACUCCUACGGGAGGCAGCAGUAGGGAAUAUUCGGCAAAGGGCGAAAGCCUGACGGAGCAACGCCGCGUGAGUGAUGAAGGUCUUCGGAUCGUAAAACACUGUUAUUAGGGAAGAACAGAUGUGAAAGAAAAUGUGCACAUCUUGACGGUACCAAAUCAGAAAGCAACGGCUAACUACGUG